UACGAGUGGUGCAAGCGUUGUUCGGAAUCACUGGGCAUAAAGCGCACGCAGGCGGUGGCGUAAGUCAGUUGUGAAAUCCCCCGGCUCAACCGGGGAACUGCAACUGAUACUGCGUUGCUGGAGUGCGGGAGGGGAGAACGGAAUUCCUGGUGGAGCGGUGAAAUGCGUAGAUAUCAGGAGGAACGCCGGAGGCGAAAGCGGUUCUCUGGCCCGCAACUGACGCUGAGGUGCGAAAGCUAGGGGAGCAAACAGG
rnacentral:rRNA from 1 species